GGUCUUUUUGAAGUUAUGUCUGCUAUUGAAAUGAUGGCUCCCAAGAUGAAUGCUAGCAUGAUUGGAAACCAAGUUAAUCGAAAAGUUCUCAACUUUGACCAAGCUAUCAAGGAUGGCACCAUUAAAAUUAAAGAUCUCAACUUGCCUGAACUGAUAGGGAUAAUGGAUACAUGUUUUUGCUGUUUGAUAACUUGGUUAGAAGGCCAUUCCUUGGCAUAGACAGUAUUUAGGUACCUUUAAAUUCAUAAUCCAGGCUUUAUAGAAGAUCCUGCCAUGAUGGCUUUUGCUCUGGGAAUCUUGAAAAU